ACCCUCCAGUAGAUGCAUGUUCCACUAGCUUGGGGACAGAGCAGAAGCUGUGAAGAGUGCAGGUGCAGACGACACAGGUAGAAUCUCCCUGAUUACCUGAGGGACUAGUCUUGGUUGAAAGUUAUUCAGCACAUCAUGUUUGUCCAGCUCCUCGUUGUCACCAUCUUGGGCCUCGCUCUCGGUUCUCCGGUAGAGCGUGAAAAGAGACAAGUAAACUGCCCAAAUGUUUUUCAUCUGACCUCUAACCCUUGCGUGAGCGGUCAGAGUCGUGCACUCUACCCCAUUCCUGGUGACACCACCAAGUACGUGCAGUGUGACGUUCUGGGUCACGCUAUGUCGUUCAGUGCCCGACAGGAUUUUUCUUCAAUGAGGCUUCAUCGUCGUGUCACGAGGAGGUAGUCGUGACGCCCACACAAGGGAGUAACAGCCUCUGCAACGCCCAGGCAAUGCAAACUGGACGGUAUACUUCGUCUUCAACGGGGACAACACCAAGUUCUGGGAAUGCAUGCUAUUGGACAGGCCCAGGUGCUGACGUGUCCCAGCCAGCUGCUGUUUGACCCCUCCCGCUCAGCUUGCGUGUAUGUGCCGUCUUCUGGUAUCCUCCAAACCCCCCAACCAACAGUAGUAGUCCCUUCCACACAGAAUAUAGGAAACCCCUGCACGGUGCAGAAUCUUGCUGCGGGACAUCACUACUUCGCCACCCGGAUCCCACCCGCUUCAUCCAGUGCGACGAUGCAGGGAAGCGUUUGUAGUCACCUGCCCGCCUCGUCUGGUGUGGAACCAGUACCUGGAGACCUGCGUGUCCGCUUACACCACCACCGUUGGUUAGACCCACCCAUUGUAUACCAACCCCAGUUCCAUCACAAUUAGUUUCGUGUAAAAGGAUGCCUUGCCCAUGGGAGAUGCCCACUUUGACAAAGAAAUAUAAACAUUUAUAAUGCAA